rnacentral:misc_RNA from 1 species
AUAACUAUGAUUGGUCUAGUAUCUUGCUUUACUCCAUCAAAUGCGUUUUCACCUUCCACCACAGAAACAGCACUCUUAGCAACAAGCUUUUGCUUCAGAGUUCUUGCGGGUCCACUAGUAACUCCUAAUCGGAGACUGGAGGGGCGGCGCCUCCGCGCCUCCGCGACGGCCGGGGAGGCGGGGGACUGGAUCUUGGGGAGGAGCCGCGCGGCGGU